rnacentral:rRNA from 1 species
UCCGAUAGCGCACAAGUAGAGUGAUCGAAAGAUGAAAAGCACUUUGGAAAGAGAGUCAACCAGCACGUGAAAUUGUUGAAAGGGAAGCGCUCGCAGCCAGGCUUGCUUGCAGUUGCUCAUCCGGGCUUUUGCCCGGUGCACUCUUCUGUAGGCAGGCCAGCAUCAGUUUGGGCGGUGGGAUAAAGGUCUCUGUCACGUACCUCUCUUCGGGGAGGCCUUAUAGGGGAGACGACAUACCACCAGCCUAGACUGAGGUCCGCGCAUCUGCUAGGAUGCUGGCGUAAUGGCUGUAAGCGGCCCGUCUUGAAACACGGACCAAGGAGUCUAACAUCUAUGCGAGUGUUUGGGUGUCAAGCCCGAGCGCGUAAUGAAAGUGAACGGAGGUGGGAACCCGCAAGGGUGCACCAUCGACCGAUCCUGAAGUUUUCGGAAGGAUUUGAGUAAGAGCAUGGCUGUUGGGACCCGAAAGAUGGUGAACUAUGCUUGAAUAGGGUGAAGCCAGAGGAAACUCUGGUGGAGGCUCGCAGCGGUUCUGACGUGCAAAUCGAUCGUCAAAUUGGGCAUAGGGGCGAAAGACUAAUUCGAAC